rnacentral:lncRNA from 1 species
GAAGGGUUUAGCUUAAGAUCAUUUUUCAGUUCAUUUGAGUAGAAGAUUCUUUUCAUAUGAAACAAAUUAUGUCUUUUCUUUAAUUUGGCGGGCUAUUUAAAAAUGAGCUACUUGAAACAUUUCAUUAAGUCCCACCAUGGUUAAGUUAAUGUCUGGAUUUAAAAUUGGAAAUAUUUAGAAGCAGGGAUAGGCUAAAGUGGUUUAUUUAUUUUGUAUUUUCUAAAUUGUACUCAAGUUUUGGUAUGAUUGGGAUUGAUAAUCACUUCCUUCUAGAUAUCUAAAAGCACUCGGAAAAUUCACCUUUCUUCUGAAAAUUACAGUCUCAUUCUUGGACUGGAAUGAUUCUGAUCAGAAGGGGAAGACCCUCACUUCACAUUUCUCUAUGAAGAAAUAGAGGAACAGAGAGGGUGAAUAAUACCACCCUUAAAUUUCUUACAAAUAACGUCAGCCUCCUUUUGC